UACGUAGGGGGGCAAGCGUUGUCCGGAUUUAUUGGGCGUAAAGAGCGUGUAGGCGGCCUGAAAGGUCAGCUGUGAAAACUCGAGGCUCAACCUCGAGACGUCGGUUGAAACCAUCUGGCUAGAGUCUGGAAGAGGAGAGUGGAAUUCCCGGUGUAGCGGUGAAAUGCGCAGAUAUCGGGAAGAACACCCGUGGCGAAGGCGGCUCUCUGGGACGGUACUGACGCUGAGACGCGAAAGCGUGGGGAGCGAACAGG
rnacentral:rRNA from 1 species